rnacentral:rRNA from 1 species
UGGGGAAUAUUGGGCAAUGGGCGCAAGCCUGACCCAGCAACGCCGCGUGAAGGAAGAAGGCCCUCGGGUUGUAAACUUCUUUUGUCAGGGACGAAACAAAUGACGGUACCUGACGAAUAAGCCACGGCUAACUACGUGCCAGCAGCCGCGGUAAUACGUAGGUGGCAAGCGUUAUCCGGAUUUACUGGGUGUAAAGGGCGUGUAGGCGGGAGAGCAAGUCAGAUGUGAAAUUCCAGGGCUCAACCCUGGAACUGCAUUUGAAACUGUUCUUCUUGAGUGAUGGAGAGGCAGGCGGAAUUCCGU